CACAGUGUAGCAAUACAUGGGUGGCGACCGGCAAACGGGUGCGGAACACGUACGCAACCUUCCUUCAGGCGGGGAAUAGCCCAGAGAAAUUUGGAUUAAUACCCCAUAAUAUUUUGAGAUGGCAACAUCUUAUUAUUAAAGCUACGGCACCUGGAGAUGGGCGUGCGGCUGAUUAGGUAGUUGGCGGGGUAAUGGCCCACCAAGCCUACGAUCAGUAGCUGAUGUGAGAGCAUGAUCAGCCACACGGGCACUGAGACACGGGCCCGACUCCUACGGGAGGCAGCAGUAAGGAAUAUUGGUCAAUGGACGCAAGUCUGAACCAGCCAUGCCGCGUGGAGGAUGAAGGUCCUCUGGAUUGUAAACCUCUUUUAUCUGGGACGAAAAAAGGGUUUUCUAACUCGUCUGACGGUACCAGAUGAAUAAGCACCGGCUAACUCCGUGCCAGCAGCCGCGGUAAUACGGAGGGUGCAAGCGUUAUCCGGAUUCACUGGGUUUAAAGGGUGCGUAGGCGGGCAUUUAAGUCAGUGGUGAAAUACCUGAGCUUAACUUGGGAACUGCCAUUGAUACUAUUUGUCUUGAAUGUCGUGGAGGUUAGCGGAAUAUGUCAUGUAGCGGUGAAAUGCUUAGAUAUGACAUAGAACACCUAUUGCGAAGGCAGCUAACUACGCGAAUAUUGACGCUGAGGCACGAAAGCGUGGGGAUCAAACAGGAUUAGAUACCCUGGUAGUCCACGCCCUAAACGAUGAUUACUCGACAUUAGCGAUACACUGUUAGUGUCUGAGCG
rnacentral:rRNA from 1 species